UACGUAGGCAGCAAGCGUUGUUCGGAGUUACUGGGCGUAAGGGUGUGUAGGCGGUUAUUUAAGUUUGGUGUGAAAUCUCCCGGCUCAACCGGGAGGUGCGCCGAAUACUGAAUGACUUGGAGUGCGGGAGAGGAAAGUGGAAUUCCGGUGUAGCGGUGAAAUGCGUAGAUAUCGGGAGGAACACCAGUAGCGAAGGCGCACUCUGGGCCGGUAUGACGCUGAGGAGCGAAAGCGUGGGGAGCGAACAGGA
rnacentral:rRNA from 1 species